rnacentral:tRNA from 1 species
AAUAAAGUACCUAUAUAAGGACCUACACUGAUAAAGUAGGCAUGCGUUACUGCCUUUAUUU